ensembl:lncRNA
AGUUGUGGAUUCUGAAGUUACAGCUGUUGAUGUUGCUGGAUUGUUUGUUGUUGUAGAUGUGGUUGAUGAAGCUGUAGUUGUGGUUUCUGCUGUUGUACUAUUUGAAGUUGUAGGCAUUGUUGUUGAAGCAAGUGUUGUGGAUUCUGAAGUUACUGCUAUUGAU